GGGGAAUUUUCCGCAAUGGGCGCAAGCCUGACGGAGCAACGCCGCGUGAGGGAGGAAUGUCUGUGGAUUGUAAACCUCCUUUCUCUGUGAAGAAGAUCUGACGGUACCUGAGGAAUCAGCAUCGGCUAACUCCGUGCCAGCAGCCGCGGUAAGACGGAGGAUGCAAGCGUUAUCCGGAAUUAUUGGGCGUAAAGCGUCCGUAGGUGGUUUAUCAAGUCUGUUGUUAAAGCUCACAGCUCAACUGUGAAUCGGCAAUGGAAACUGAAAGACUAGAGUGUGGUAGGGGUAGAGGGAAUUCCUAGUGUAGCGGUGAAAUGCGUAGAUAUUAGGAAGAACACCAGUGGCGAAGGCGCUCUACUGGGCCAUAACUGACACUGAUGGACGAAAGCUAGGG
rnacentral:rRNA from 1 species